rnacentral:rRNA from 1 species
GAUGAACGCUGGCCGCGUGCUUAACACAUGCAAGUCGAACGGAAAGGCCCAAGCUUGCUUGGGUACUCGAGUGGCGAACGGGUGAGUAACACGUGGGUGAUCUGCCCUGCACUUCGGGAUAAGCCUGGGAAACUGGGUCUAAUACCGGAUAGGACCACAUUUUGGAUGGUGUGGUGGAAAGUUUUUCGGUGUGGGAUGAGCUCGCGGCCUAUCAGCUUGUUGGUGGGGUAAUGGCCUACCACGGCGUCGACGGGUAGCCGGCCUGAGAGGGUGUACGGCGACAUUGGGACUGAGAUACGGCCCAGACUCCUACGGGAGGCAGCAGUGGGGAAUAUUGCACAAUGGGCGCAAGGCUGAUGCAGCGAGGCCGCGUGGGGGAUGACGGCCUUCGGGUUGUAAACUACUUGCGCUAGGGACGAAGCGUUAUGUGACGGUACCUGGAGAAGAAGCACCGGCUAACUACGUG